CUUAAUGGAAAUAGGUUAGGGGCAAGUACCUGCUGGAAGCAUAGCAUCGGUAUCACCAGCAAGUUUGUUUUCUUAAUGGAAAGAGCAAGUGAAGAAGAACAGGGAUCCAAGAUGGGAAGAGGAGUUUAGUUUUGUGUUGGAGGAGCCUCCCGUGAAUGAUAAACUGCAUGUGGAAGUUAUCAGCACCUCAACAAGGAUUGGCCUUCUACAUCCAAAGGAAGUGUUAGGGUAUAUUGAUAUAAGUCUUUCAGAUGUCGUCCACAACACAAGGAUCAACGAGAAGUACAACCUCAUAGAUUCAAAAAAUGGACGGAUUCAAGUUGAGCUGCAAUGGAGGACCGCUAAAUAAUUCUAUCCCGCCUUUGCUAAGCUACAUAAGUUCCCUCUUAUGCUAAGACAGACAUUUUUCUCUCUUCAAACUUGUGUGUUGAAAAAUCAUCGAAUGUUUUGUGUACAUAGUACAAUGACAACCAGCUGGUUAUGGUUAUUUAUGUUUUCAGUACAGUUCUUCUCUGCAUAGCAGGUCGGUUCUGAAACGGCACCCCUUAGAUAUAUUUGAUUCUCAUCUUUCAUUAGA